rnacentral:rRNA from 1 species
AUUGAACGCUGGCGGCAGGCCUAACAAAAUCAAGUCGGACGAGCGGGGGACGGGGGAGUAAAGUAUGGGGAACUGCCCGAUAGAGGGGGAUAACUACUGGAAACGGGGGCUAAUACCGCAUACGAUCGGAUGAAACCAUAUGGGGUUAGCUAGUAGGUGGGGUAAAGGCUCAACUAGGCGACGAGCUCUGGCUGGUCUGAGAGGAUGAUCAGCCAGACUGGGACUGAGACACGGCCCAGACUCCUACGGGAGGCAGCAGGGGGGAAUAGUGCACAAUGGGCGCAAGCCUGAUGCAGCCAUGCCGCGUGUAUGAAGAAGGCCUUAGGGUUGUAAAGUACUUUCAGCGGGGAGGCGUUACCCGCAGAAGAAGCACCGGCUAACUCCGUGCCAGCAGCCGCGGUAAUUC